rnacentral:sRNA from 1 species
UGCUCACAGCCUCCUUCCCUCUCUCCUUCUGCCUCAGAUGUGAAGUUCAUUUCCAAUCCGCCCUCCAUGGUGGCAGCGGGGAGCGUGGUGGCCGCAGUGCAAGGCCUGAACCUGAGGAGCCCCAACAACUUCCUGUCCUACUACCGCCUCACACGCUUCCUCUCCAGAGUGAUCAAGUGUGACCCGGACUGCCUCCGGGCCUGCCAGGAGCAGAUCGAAGCCCUGCUGGAGUCAAGCCUGCGCCAGGCCCAGCAGAACAUGGACCCCAAGGCCGCCGAGGAGGAGGAAGAGGAGGAGGAGGAGGUGGACCUGGCUUGCACACCCACCGACGUGCGGGACGUGGACAUCUGAGGGCUCCAGGCAGGCGGGCGCCACCGCCACCCGCAGCGAGGGCGGAGCCGGCCCCAGGUGCUCCCCUGACAGUCCCUCCUCUCCGGAGCAUUUUGAUACCAGAAGGGAAAGCUUCAUUCUCCUUG